UACGGAGGAUCCGAGCGUUAUCCGGAUUUAUUGGGUUUAAAGGGAGCGUAGGCGGGUUGUUAAGUCAGUUGUGAAAGUUUGCGGCUCAACCGUAAAAUUGCAGUUGAUACUGGCAUCCUUGAGUACAGUAGAAGUAGGCGGAAUUCGUGGUGUAGCGGUGAAAUGCUUAGAUAUCACGAAGAACUCCGAUUGCGAAGGCAGCCUGCUGGACUGUAACUGACGCUGAUGCUCGAAAGUGUGGGUAUCAAACAGG
rnacentral:rRNA from 1 species